rnacentral:rRNA from 1 species
CUUUGACCGCAAGGUCAAAGGGAGCGGCGGACGGCUGAGUAACACGUAAGAAUCUGCCCCUUUCUAGGGAAUAGCUCACCGAAAGGUGAGGUAAUACCCUAUAAUACCUCCGGGUUAAAGGACGUAACUGUUUGGAAAGGGAUGAGCUUGCGGCCUAUCAGGUUGUUGGUGGGGUAACGGCCUACCAAGCCAAUGACGGGUAGCUAAUCUGAGAGGAUGGUUAGCCAGAGGGGGACUGCGACACGGCCCCC